rnacentral:rRNA from 1 species
UACAGAGGUCUCAAGCGUUGUUCGGAUUCAUUGGGCGUAAAGGGUGUGUAGGUGGCGCCGUAAGUCGGGUGUGAAAUUUCGGAGCUUAACUCCGAAACUGCAUUCGAUACUGCGGUGCUUGAGGACUGGAGAGGAGACUGGAAUUCAUGGUGUAGCAGUGAAAUGCGUAGAGAUCAUGAGGAAGACCAGUGGCGAAGGCGGGUCUCUGGACAGUGCCUGACACUGAGACACGAAGGCCAGGGGAGCAAACGGG